GAAGAAGGUAUGAAGCCGGUCAAACUCCAUUUGUAGACUAAACCUAAUAACUUUGUAAGCCCACUUCAAAAUAAAAGCCCAUUUCGAAAAAACCCUUGAUCAAAUAAAAUUAGUUCCAGGAGUUAGGUGAGGAAGACAAAACCACGCUGCCUUACAAAUUUUGAUCAAGAACUGCAUCAAAUUUGACUCCGACGACGUGAACAUCAACAUCCCGCCGUUGCCCGGAGAUCUGUCGAUGGAAGCUUCGAACCUGAGUGGAUCUAAUCAUCGGGAGCAGAAUAUUCGGUGUGAUCGGAUGAAUUGAAGGUUCGGUUGUUCUGUAACGAUUGGGGUGUAUUAAAUCCUCGGGGUUGUUCUUGAAGGCGUUCUGGUGCUUGUAGUCAACUGUUCUAUACUCGCCCGUACAUUGCCCAUAUAAGUCGAGUUUAAUAACAACUUAAGUCAUCGUUGGUUGUCCCUGCUGUACUUCAUGGUUAUCUAUGCCCAUUCCCAGCUCUCAGGGCCCCACCUCCCUGCAUUAUCAUCCCCCCUUCCCUCUUCCCACUCUGUUAGUGAGAUUCGACUCCCUCUAAUCUCUACCACUUCAAAACACCGCCAUCUUCGUGUUGUCUGCUCCAGCAGUGAUGGUAGUGGUAGCAAGAAGGGAGUACCCAGUUCCAACUAUGUUGUGCCGCUCAAUAAAUCAUUUUCCGCAGCUAACUCAUCCUGAAUCACCCGACCCCUUGCCGAGAUCCUCCGGGAUCUAAACAAGAGAAUCCCCGAUAACAUUGCCCAGAAACUUCCUCAAUCCGCUACUUUCAUCCCUUGGUUUCAUGCCAAUAGAAUGCUGAGUUUCUACGCCCCUGGAUGGUGUGGAGAAAUACGAGACGUUAUAUUCUCCCACAAUGGAAGCGUGACUGUAAGAGGAUCUGAUGGAGAGGCACACCGUGAAUCGACUGGAACAGUAUCAGCCACCAAUAGCAGUAAUGAAGAUCCUGUAGCUGCUGCAGAGGAAAUAGCUUUUUGCAAGGCUUGUGCAAGAUUUGGGCUCGGUUUGUAUCUGUACCAUGAAGAAUGAAUGAAUGCCAUGCUUAUGCUUCCAACAUGUAUUGAAUUGAAGUUAUUUUGUAGAAAUGGGUAUAAUGUUGUUGGCCUUCAACUUUAGAAACCUCA